rnacentral:rRNA from 1 species
AGUGAACGCUGGCGGUAGGCCUAACACAUGCAAGUCGAACGGCAGCACAGUAAGAGCUUGCUCUUACGGGUGGCGAGUGGCGGACGGGUGAGGAAUACAUCGGAAUCUACUUUUUCGUGGGGGAUAACGUAGGGAAACUUACGCUAAUACCGCAUACGACCUACGGGUGAAAGCAGGGGAUCUUCGGACCUUGCGCGAUUGAAUGAGCCGAUGUCGGAUUAGCUAGUUGGCGGGGUAAAGGCCCACCAAGGCGACGAUCCGUAGCUGGUCUGAGAGGAUGAUCAGCCACACUGGAACUGGGACACGGUCCAGGCUCCUACGGGAGGCAGCAGUGGGGAAUAUUGGACAAAGGGCGCAAGCCUGAUCCAGCCAUACCGCGUGGGUGGAGAAGGCCUUCGGGUUGUAAAGCCCUUUUGUUGGGAAAGAAAAGCAGCAGGUUAAUACCCCGCUGUUCUGACGGUACCCAAAGAAUAAGCACCGGCUAACUUCGUG